rnacentral:lncRNA from 12 species
AGAAGCCGCUUCUUUGGACACCAUAUAGUCAUUGCUUAAAUCUGAUCAUUUAUCCUAUAGCUGUUUCAAACCCUUCUGAAGGACGAACCUUUGAUCCAGCAGAAGAGAAUCUCCGAAUGCAAAUUGAAGAAGAAAAAAAAAGCUAUAAAAUAGUGUACAGUCGCUUCAAAGGGCUGAAGGUAGAGAUUGAGCACCUGCAGCUUCUUAUGGAAAAAGUGAAGAUGAAGCUGCAAAAAGACUUUGAAGCCUGGUGGUCUGAAGAGGCAAAAAAAUUCCAGCAGGAAAAGCCAGAGAUGGUUGCCUCACCAAAUACUGCCACUGUUUAUCCACAGUUUAUCAGAUCCUCACAGCAUCUAUCACCCAACAGUUUUUCAGACACCAGCAGAGACAGCCCUUAUGAAGAUGCAGCUGUGAAAAACAAUUCAAUCACUUCUGGUAACCCAACUUUAAAAACAAGGAGCUCACCAAAUUCAAGUACAUCUAUUCCUCUGACUGGAGACAGCCAGGCUGAUGCUGACAUCCUAGCAUUCAUUAAAGCAAGACAGAACAUCCUGCAAAAGAAAGGCUUGGGCAACAAAUGAAGUUCUUGUCACAGUCCACUAUUUCCUUUUAGAAACAGUCAAAGACUUUUAUUCUUUCCCUUCCUCUUCUGUUUAGAAACAGGUACAAGUAAGUACUUCAGAUGUACAGGUUUAAUUGGUAAGGGUAUAUAAAUUGUCUUUGACAGCAAAAUCCAUUUCUCUGACAACAGAUAUUUGAGUAUUGCACUCAGUAUCUUCACCCUGCAUUAAGAUUAACAAAACUGAAACAUCUAAUCAGGAGUUUGCAAACAUAUUUGUUAAUGAGAAUUCGUACAUUUCUAAAUUUUAAAAUUAUCUCAUGUAUUAAUGCUCUUAUGCAUCUUUAAUCUGGGAAGGGCUUAUUAGUACUGAUAGGGUUUUUUACAUCGAUUCGCAUAAGGCUUUGUUAAUUAUCCCUAUUGACCAUCAAGAGACAUCGAUUCAUUAUCAUUCAUUAUCAUCCAUAUCAGAUUAUUAGAAUACUGAGAUUGCAUUGUAAUAUAAAAACAAAUGCAUUUUAGGAAGUAAUUCUAGAGUUCAAAAUUUCCCAACUGUUUUCUUUGUAUUUUAAUAGAUUAAAUGUUGUGCAGAAUGGAUUAAAUGUUGUGCAAAAUGCACACCCUCCCAAAAUACAGGUUUCAGAAGAAACAAUUAUACAUAAUAGGCUUUAAAUAAAACAAGGCAAAUACUUCUGAAAAACCAACGAGAUAUGAAAAUUUAAAUGUAAUUUUAUCUUAAAUACAAUGUAAUUUCACUAUUGACUUGGUACUAUUUUAUUGCAUAAUAUCCAGUAAUGAAACAAUUUGUUUUAGACAUCAAAUUAAAAUAAAAAAUGCAAUGCAAAGUACAGUCUUUGAGAUAUGCACACUACAUUGAAGCUGUCACUUUUCAUGCUAGUGAUAAUCUUAUAGUCAUGCAUUUAGAAGCAUAUGGGCUGUUCACAUAAAAAUAAAACAAUAUACUGGCAAAAGUCACAUAUUCUCAAGGAUGUAUAUUUCUUUAUAAGCGUGCUGAUACUUAAUUCUUUGUCAAAUUCAUAAUUAUAGAGAAGUACAUGGUGAAUUUCUGUGUUCAAACCUACAGAAGAUAUGUUUGUCCAAUUAACAGCUAAUAUGCAAUCAAUUUUAAAAUAUUAAAGUUGUACCCUUUUUUGCAUUUUAAUUUUCUGUAAAAGUCCAUACAGAUAUUAUAUAAAUUGGUAAGCUUUAGCAGAAUUUAAUACGUGCAAACUGAGAUAAAAGAUCUACUCUUGCUUUGAGAAGAGUUCAAGGAUUUGGUCAGAAGUGGAAAAAUUCACAGGCCUUCUCCCUUUUAGAUGUUUGC